UACAGAGGUCUCAAGCGUUUGUUCGGAUUCAUUGGGCGUAAAGGGCGCGUAGGCGGCGAUCAAGGUCAGAUGUGAAAUUCCUGGGCUUAACCUGGGGGCUGCAUUUGAUACGUGGUGGCUUGAGUGCGGAAGAGGGUCGUGGAAUUCCCAGUGUAGAGGUGAAAUGCGUAGAUAUGCGGAGGAACACCGGUGGCGAAGGCGGCAUCCUGGACCGGCAUUGACGCUGAGGCGCGAAAAGCCCAGGGGAGGCAAACGGGG
rnacentral:rRNA from 1 species